UGGAGGAAUAUUGGUCAAUGGGCGCAAGCCUGAACCAGCCAAGUCGCGUGAGGGAAGACGGUCCUAUGGAUUGUAAACCUCUUUUGUCGGGGAGCAAAAGCGCGGUACGAGUACCGCGAAGGACGAGUACCCGAAGAAAAGCAUCGGCUAACCUCCGUGCCAG
rnacentral:rRNA from 1 species